rnacentral:rRNA from 1 species
UAGCGUAUAUUAAAGUUGUUGCGGUUAAAAAGCUCGUAGUUGGAUUUCUGUUGAGGUUGGGCGGUCCGUACUUUGUGCGAGUAUCUGCUUCGGCCUUGGCAUCCUCUCGGAAGGCGCUACUGUGCUUGAUUGCAUGGUGCGAAUUGCGGGACUUUUACUUUGAGGAAAUUAGAGUGUUCACGGCAGGCUUUCGCCUUGAAUAUAUUAGCAUGGAAUAAUGAUAUAGGAUCUGAUGCCUAUUUUGUUGGUUUCUAGGUGUUAGAUAAUGAUUAAUAGGGACAAUUGGGGGGAUUCGUAUUACAGCGUC